rnacentral:rRNA from 1 species
AGUGAACGCUGGCGGUAGGCCUAACACAUGCAAGUCGAACGGCAGCACAGUAAGAGCUUGCUCUUACGGGUGGCGAGUGGCGGACGGGUGAGGAAUACAUCGGAAUCUACUUUUUCGUGGGGGAUAACGUAGGGAAACUUACGCUAAUACCGCAUACGACCUACGGGUGAAAGCAGGGGAUCUUCGGACCUUGCGCGAUUGAAUGAGCCGAUGUCAGAUUAGCUAGUUGGCGGGGUAAAGGCCCACCAAGGCGACGAUCCGUAGCUGGUCUGAGAGGAUGAUCAGCCACACUGGAACUGAGAGACGGUCCAGGCUCCGACGGGAGGCAGCAGUGGGGAGUAUUGGACAAUGGACGCAAGCCUGAUCCAGCCAUACCGCGUGGGUGAAGAAGGCCUUCGGGUUGUAAAGCCCUUUUGUUGGGAAAGAAAAGCAGCAGGUUAAUACCCCGCUGUUCUGACGGUACCCAAAGAAUAAGCACCGGCUAACUUCGU